rnacentral:rRNA from 1 species
GGAGUUAGCCGGUGCUUCUUCUGUGAGUGAUGUCCUUCCUGCCGGUUAUUGACCCGCAGGCCUUCUUCCUCACUGAAAGUGCUUUACAACCCGAAGGCCUUCUUCACACACGCGGCAUGGCUGGAUCAGGGUUGCCCCCAUUGUCCAAUAUUCCCCACUGCUGCCUCCCGUAGGAGUCUGGGCCGUGUCUCAGUCCCAGUGUGGCUGAUCAUCCUCUCAGACCAGCUACGGAUCGUCGCCUUGGUGAGCCGUUACCUCACCAACCAGCUAAUCCGACAUAGGCUCAUCCGAUAGCGCGAGGCCCUAAGGUCCCCCGCUUUCCCCCGUAGGGCGUAUGCGGUAUUAGCCUGGGUUUCCCCAGGUUAUCCCCCACUACCGGGCAGAUUCCUAUGCAUUACUCACCCGUCCGCCGCUCGCCACCAGGGAGCAAGCUCCCCGUGCUGCCGCUCGACUUGCAUGUGUUAGGCCUGCCGCCAGCGUUCAAUCUGAACCAAGAUCAAAUUCUGA